GUCCAAUUUUACUGCUUACACUGUUAUUGGGACAGGAGUGGCGGAUGAGUUCCAUACAUAUGUUCUUGAAAUUCCUGUCUUUAGCAGCUGUUUACUUGACUGUCUUCCUCAUGGACAAAGCAGGACUGAGAGGUGCUUUUUCAUUGAUCUUCAUCCCUGCUACUUUGACUGUCCAACCCAAGAUUUAAAAGGUUUUUGUGAGAAGAAAAUGCAACUGAUGGAAUUUUCUGCUGCUUAAGAACAGAACAAGGUUGUGUGUAUAUAGAGCCUUUGACCUCAACUGAAGUACAGCUCUGCUUCUGAUGACUGGACAGAAGUAUAACAGCACAAAGCAAGCAAAGAAAGUUGAUGUGAAGACUGCAAAGCUGCUUUCCCUGGUCAGUAUGGUGAAGACUUUCCCUUUGAGAACCCAGGUUUGGAAAAUAUAUACAGUUCACAGCAGAGAAAACUAUUUUCCUUUCCAGAAUGCCUAAGGAUAUUGCUAUGAAUACAGAGUCAAGUGCUGUUCCUAAUAAAAUUUUCAUGGUACAGAAGAACUUAUGACUU
rnacentral:lncRNA from 1 species